rnacentral:rRNA from 1 species
GAGAGGAUGAUCAGCCACACUGGAACUGAGACACGGUCCAGACUCCUACGGGAGGCAGCAGUGGGGAAUAUUGGACAAUGGGCGCAAGCCUGAUCCAGCCAUGCCGCGUGGGUGAAGAAGGCCUUCGGGUUGUAAAGCCCUUUUGUUGGGAAAGAAAAGCAGCCGGUUAAUACCCGGUUGUUCUGACGGUACCCAAAGAAUAAGCACCGGCUAACUUCGUGCCAGCAGCCGCGGUAAUACGAAGGGUGCAAGCGUUACUCGGAAUUACUGGGCGUAAAGCGUGCGUAGGUGGUUGUUUAAGUCCGUUGUGAAAGCCCUGGGCUCAACCUGGGAAUUGCAGUGGAUACUGGGCAACUAGAGUGUGGUAGAGGAUGGCGGAAUUCCCGGUGUAGCAGUGAAAUGCGUAGAGAUCGGGAGGAACAUCUGUGGCGAAGGCGGCCAUCUGGACCAACACUGACACUGAGGCACGAAAGCGUGG